UACGGAGGGUGCAAGCGUUAUCCGGAUUCACUGGGUUUAAAGGGUGCGUAGGAGGGCAGGUAAGUCAGUGGUGAAAUCUUCGAGCUUAACUCGGAACUGCCGUUGAUACUAUCUGUCUUGAAUAUUGUGGAGGUGAGCGGAAUAUGUCAUGUAGCGGUGAAAUGCUUAGAUAUGACAUAGAACACCAAUUGCGAAGGCAGCUGGCUACACAAAUAUUGACACUGAGGCACGAAAGCGUGGGGAUCAAACA
rnacentral:rRNA from 1 species